rnacentral:rRNA from 1 species
AAGCGUGAUGGAAAGAAAACUACAGGAUUCCCUAGUAACUGCGAGUGAAGCGGGAAAAGCUCAAUUUCAAAAUCUGGCAGUCUCUGGCUGUCCGAGUUGUAAUCUAGAGAAGUAAUGCCGUGCUGGAACCGUGUAUUAAGUCUCCUGGGAUGGGGGCGUCAUAGAGGGGUGAGAAUCCCGUCUUUGACACGGACUACCAGUGCAUUGUGGUAUGCUCUCAAAGAGUCGAGUUGUUUGGGAAUGCAGCUCAAAAUGGGGUGGUAAAUUCCAUCUAAAGCUAAAUAUUGGCGAGAGACCGAUAGCGAACAAGUACCGUGAGGGAAAAGAUGAAAAGAACUUUGGAAAGAGAGUUAAACAGUACGUGAAAUUGCUGAAAGGGAAACGCUUGAAGUCAGUCGCGUUGGCCGGGAAUCAGCCUUGCUUUUGCUUGGUGUACUUUCUGGUUGACGGGUCAGCAUCAAUUUUGACCGCUGGAAAAGGACCUGGGGAAUGUGGCAGCUUCGGCCGUGUUAUAGCCCCUAGUCGCAUACAGUGGUUGGGAUUGAGGAACUCAGCACGCCGCAAGGCCGGGUUUCGACCACGUUCGUGCUUAGGAUGCUGGCAUAAUGGCUUUAAGCGACCCGUCUUGAAACACGGACCAAGGAGUCUAACAUGCCUGCGAGUAUUUGGGUGGAAAACCCAAGUGCGUAAUGAAAGUGAAAGUUGAGAUCCCUGUCGUGGGGAGCAUCGACGCCCGGACCAGAACUUUUGGGACGGAUCCGCGGUGGAGCAUGUAUGUUGGGACCCGAAAGAUGGUGAACUAUGCCUGAAUAGGGUGAAGCCAGAGGAAACUCUGGUGGAGGCUCGUAGCGAUUCUGACGUGCAAAUCGAUCGUCAAAUUUGGGUAUAGGGGCGAAAAGACUAAUCGAACCAUCUAGUAGCUGGGUUCCUGCCGAAGGUUUCCCUCAGAUAGCAUGAACUCAUAUCAGAUUUAUGUGGUAAAGCGAAUGAAUAGAGGCCUUGGGUUUGAAACAACCUUAACCCUAUUCUUCAAACCUUAAUAUGUAAGACCGAGCCGUUUCUUGAUUGAACCGCUCGCGAUUGACGAGUAUCUAGUCGGCCAUUUUU